GGUAGUCACUCAGUUCACUACAUUGAUAAUUGUUGAACACUUGUGUUGUGGUGUUCCUAUAUAUGUCAAGAAGGUAAUUCUUUUCACAUAUGCAUUUGGUUAGGAUGAGUUGUGUAAUACCCGGUAAAAAAUUAAUAAAUAAAUAUUGCAUAAUAAAAAUUAUUUUGUUUUAAAACAUAUUAAUUGGACUUUGUCAUUUAUGU
rnacentral:lncRNA from 1 species